GGAUAACUCCCGGGAAACCGGGGCUAAUACCGGAUGGUUGUUUGAACCGCAUGGUUCAACAUAAAAGGUGGCUUCGGCUACCACUUACAGAUGGACCCGCGGCGCAUUAGCUAGUUGGUGAGGUAACGGCUCACCAAGGCNACGAUGCGUAGCCGACCUGAGAGGGUGAUCGGCCACACUGGGACUGAGACACGGCCCAGACUCCUACGGGAGGCAGCAGUAGGGAAUCUUCCGCAAUGGACGAAAGUCUGACGGAGCAACGCCGCGUGAGUGAUGAAGGUUUUCGGAUCGNAAAGCUCUGUUGUUAGGGAAGAACAAGUGCCGUUCAAAUAGGGCGGCACCUUGACGGUNCCUAACCAGAAAGCCACGGCUAACUACGUGCCAGCAGCCGCGGUAAUACGUAGGUGGCAAGCGUUGUCCGNAAUUAUUGGGCGUAAAGGGCUCGCAGGCGGUUUCUUAAGUCUGAUGUGAAAGCCCCCGGCUCAACCGGGGAGGGGUCAUUGGAAACUGGGGAACUUGAGUGCAGAAGAGGAGAGUGGAAUUCCACGUGUAGCGGUGAAAUGCGUAGAGAUGUGGAGGAACACCAGUGGCGAAGGNGACUCUCUGGUCUGUAACUGACGCUGAGGAGCGAAAGCGUGGGGAGCGAACAGGAUUAGAUACCCUGGUNGUCCACGCCGUAAACGAUGAGUGCUAAGUGUUAGGGGGUUUCCCGCCCCUUAGUGCUGCAGCUAACGCAUUAAGCACUCCGCCUGGGGAGUACGGUCGCAAGACUGAAACUCAAAGGAAUUGACGGAGGNCCCGCACAAGCGGUGGAGCAUGUAGUUUAAUUCGAAGCAACGCGAAGAACCUUACCAGGUCUUGACAUCCUNUGACAAUCCUAGAGAUAGGACGUCCCCUUCGGGGGCAGAGUGACAGGUGGUGCAUGGUUGUNGUCAGCUCGUGUCGUGAGAUGUUGGGUUAAGUCCCGCAACGAGCGCAACCCUUGAUCUUAGUUGCCAGCAUUCAGUUGGGCACUCUAAGGUGACUGCCGGUGACAAACCGGAGGAAGGUGGGGAUGACGUCAAAUCAUCAUGCCCCUUAUGACCUGGGCUACACACGUGCUACAAUGGNCAGAACAAAGGGCAGCGAAACCGCGAGGUUAAGCCAAUCCCACAAAUCUGUUCUCAGUUCGGAUCGCAGUNUGCAACUCGACUGCGUGAAGCGGAAUCGCUAGUAAUCGCGGAUCNAGCNAUGCCGCGGUGCAAUC
rnacentral:rRNA from 1 species